AUGUUCAGGCUGGCGUGGAGGACGGCGUUCGUCGACGUGAGCAUGGUCCUCGCCAUCUUGCUGCCCUUCUUCAACGACAUCCUUGGCCUCCUUGGUGUGCUUGGGUUCUGGCCGCUCACCAUCUACUUCCCCAUGGAGAUGUACAUCCGGCAGAGCAAAGUGAAGAGGUCCUCGUGGAAGUGGGUGGCGCUGCAGACCCUAAGCUUCGUGUGUUUCGCGGUGACGGUGGGCGUGACCGUCGAGUCCGUGCAGGGGAUCACCCAAUCCCUCAAAAACUAUGUGCCGUUCAAGACCAAGUUGUGA
rnacentral:rRNA from 1 species